rnacentral:rRNA from 1 species
UAGGAUUUAUCCUGGGAUCACAAUGGGCUUGAUUUGCAAACUUUACAUUUAGCGAGGAACAAUUGGAGGGCAAGUCUGGUGCCAGCAGCCGCGGUAAUUCCAGCUCCAAUAGAGUAUAUAAAUGUUCCUGCAGUUAUUCGAUGCUCGUAGUUGGAUUUCUGAAGUUGAGGCGGGAGGGUGGCUAUGGCCAUCGCCCAUCUCUUCCUUCAUCCACCUGUUAGCGAAUCCCGGGAUUGAUUUCUCGGUUUCGGGCUCAGGUAUCUUACCAUUUUCUAUAUUUGCAAUCUUCAUCGAUUAUGCAUUUAUUCUUUGAGCAAAUUAUAGUGUUUCAGGCAGGCGUGCGCCGGAAUACAUUAGCAUGGUAUAAACGAAUUGGACCGUGUAUUCAUUAUUUGAAUUCUUCCUUAUUUGUUGGUUUGAAGGACACGGAGAUGGUUAAUAGGGACAGAAUUUAUUUCAGGGGGAGGCAUUAGUAUUUAAUUUCCAGAGGUGAAAUUCUUUGAAAUAUUAAAGACUAACUUAUGCGAAAGCAUUUAUUUGCCAAUGAUGUUUUCAUUAAUCAUUGAACGAAAGUUAGGGGAUCAAAGACGAUCAGAUACCGUCCUAGUCUUAACCAUAAACGUUGCCGACUAGGGAUCGGAGGGCGUGCACAUUCCGCCUUCGGCACCUUACGAGAAAUCAAAGUCUUUUGGGUUCUGUGGGUAGUAUGGUCGCAAGGCUGAAACUUAAAGGAAUUGACGGAAGGGCACCACCAGGAGUGGAGCUUGCGGCUCAAUUUGACUCAACACGGGAAAUCUUACCAGGUCCAGACAUAGCGAGGAU